CGAUCGCGCGGUAUGGCGCCGAAAGGUAUUACCGUGAGGAAAGUCCGGGCAUCACAGGGCAGGAUAACGGAUAACGUCCGCCGAGGGUGACCUCCGGGAAAGUGCAACAGAGAUAUACCGCUGAAAACAGGCGUCUCAUUUUUUGCUUAGCGUGAUAUGAGAUACCUGCGGGGGUCCUCGGUUUGCUUUGCAAACCGGGGUUCUCCGCGGCAAGGGUGGAAAGGCGAGGUAAGAGCUCACCGGCACUGAUGGCAACAUCAUGCAAAUGUAAACCCUAUCCGAUGCAACACCGUGUGAAAGAAGGGCUGCCCGUCCGCUCCGCAAGGGGAUUUCCGAGGUGGCAAAGAGCUGUGCGGCAACGCAUACGCCAAGACAGAUGACCGUCAUUGACAGAACCCGGCUUACGACACGG
rnacentral:RNase_P_RNA from 1 species